UAAAAAACAACACAACCCACUGAUGGAGCCUGGGAAGUAGAAAGAGCUGGGGGCCAACCCUCAGGGAUUUUUAAGCUGCAGUGAAGUUUGACAUUUGGAGGUACCCUUAAAAGAAGCCUAAUUUGGACUUUGGCUUGGAAGGUAUUGUUAAGAAGUUUUAACACUGCAGGGGGGAAAAAGUUUCCUUUAAACUUCCUAACCCCUUUUAAUAUGCAGAUGAAGAGGGUCUAGAAACCUGACCAUUUCUGACCAUGGAAGACCACCGCAGUCCCUGAAGUUUGAGAAUUUAAUAACUAAAUCCCCCAUUUAUUUCUUUGGGGAGUGUUAAUAUAUUUUUCUCAUUGUGUUGAACCCCAACUGGGAUCCAUGGUUAAUUCACUCCAAGGAGCUACUCUUUAACCCAGGAGGAAUGCUGAAAAAGAGCUUGUCCUCCAGAGCUGUCAGUGCUCCUGAUCUGGUAAGAAUGGUUGAAGAUUCCCCUUCCCCCAGUCAAUGAGCCCCUUUUCUUUGUUGUAAGUAGUAUUUAGUAUUUCACUCUGACAGCUUCACACUUUGUCUUGGCUCCAAGAUUGUACCACAAAGACAAUGCACUCUGGCUGAUGUCUUCCUUUCUGAAGCCAGCCCUCCUCAAUUUGUAAUUCUCCAGUAUAAAUAAUUGCAAAAAUCUUUGAUGAAAACAUACCAUGCCAUUGUCACCAGGCUAUGCUUUGAUAGGAAAGCUUAAAGAAGACUUCUAAUGUCUUGGCUGGUUGUAAAUCAAUUGUAUUAUGUUACUGAUAAAUCAGUUUUGAAUGUGCU
rnacentral:lncRNA from 1 species